rnacentral:lncRNA from 1 species
AAACAAACCACGGUGGGUUGCCUCCCACCAAGCGCUAGUUUUAGAGUCGCCAGCCCGACGUAGAGAAUCCCUUAACCAAAAUCGCUAUGAAACGUCAGCUGAAUUAGUCCUCGUGAAAGCACAUCAUCCUCCAGUUCAGCUGCGGGUCCUCUUAAUGAGCAAGCAGAGCUCAUUGCGUUCAUCAUUCUCUCGAACCAUGAACUAGAUCGAGAGCUUCCUUCUUUCUUCUCCUCUAAGAGCAUUACACCUUGCACUCCUUGCACGACACCAUCUAUGCAG